rnacentral:rRNA from 1 species
UACGAAGGGGGCUAGCGUUGUUCGGAAUUACUGGGCGUAAAGCGUACGUAGGCGGAUUGUUAAGUGAGGGGUGAAAUCCCGAGGCUCAACCUCGGAACUGCCUUUCAUACUGGCAAUCUUGAGUCCGGGAGAGGUGAGUGGAACUCCUAGUGUAGAGGUGAAAUUCGUAGAUAUUAGGAAGAACACCAGUGGCGAAGGCGGCUCACUGGCUCGGUACUGACGCUGAGGCGCGAAAGCGUGGGGAGCAAACAGG